CUACGGGGCGCUGCAGUGAGGAAUAUUGCACAAUGGGGGGAACCCUGAUGCAGCAACGCCGCGUGGAGGAUGACGCAUUUCGGUGUGUAAACUCCUUUUAUAUGUCAAGAAAAUGACGGUAGCAUAUGAAUAAGCACCCGCUAACUCCGUGCCAGCAGCCGCGGUAAUACGGAGGGUGCAAGCGUUAUGCGGAAUCACUGGGCGUAAAGGACGCGUAGGCGGGUUGGAAAGUCAGGUGUGAAAUCCUACAGCUUAACUGUAGAACUGCACUUGAAACUUCUAAUCUAGAGUAUGGGAGGGGGAGAUGGAAUUAGUGGUGUAGGGGUAAAAUCCGUAGAUAUCACUAGGAAUACCUAAAGCGAAGGCGAUCUCCUGGAACAUUACUGACGCUAAGGCGUGAAAGCGUGGGGAGCAAACAGGAUUAGAUACCCGUGUAGUC
rnacentral:rRNA from 1 species